UACAGAGGGGGCGAGCGUUAUUCGGAAUUAUUGGGCGUAAAGGGCGCGUAGGCGGCUUUUCAAGUGACGGGUGAAAUCCCUCGGCUUAACCGAGGAACUGCCUGUCAGACUGGAAGGCUUGAGACCGGGAGAGGUGAGUGGAAUUCCCAGUGUAGCGGUGAAAUGCGUAGAUAUUGGGAGGAACACCAGUGGCGAAGGCGGCUCACUGGACCGGAACUGACGCUGAGGCGCGAAAGCGUGGGGAGCGAACAGG
rnacentral:rRNA from 1 species